rnacentral:rRNA from 1 species
GAUGAACGCUAGCGGCAGGCCUAACACAUGCAAGUCGAGGGGUAGAGUUAGCUUGCUAACUUGAGACCGGCGCACGGGUGCGUAACGCGUAUGCAAUCUGCCUUGUACUGAGGGAUAGCCCAGAGAAAUUUGGAUUAAUACCUCAUAGUAUUAUGAUGUGGCAUCACAUUAUAAUUAAAGUUCCAACGGUACAAGAUGAGCAUGCGUCCCAUUAGUUAGUUGGUAAGGUAACGGCUUACCAAGACAAUGAUGGGUAGGGGUCCUGAGAGGGAGAUCCCCCACACUGGUACUGAGACACGGACCAGACUCCUACGGGAGGCAGCAGUGAGGAAUAUUGGUCAAUGGGCGCAAGCUUGAACCAGCCAUGCCGCGUGCAGGAUGAAGCAUCUAUGGUGUGUAAACUGCUUUUGUACGGGAAGAAACACUCCUACGUGUAGGAGCUUGACGGUACCGUAAGAAUAAGGAUCGGCUAACUCCGUGCCAGCCGCCGCGGUAACAC